rnacentral:rRNA from 1 species
UAUACAUGCAGUAGGACGCACAGUUUAUACCGUAGCUUGCUACACCAUAGACUGUGAGUUGCGAACGGGUGAGUAACGCGUAGGUAACCUACCUAUUAGAGGGGGAUAACUAUUGGAAACGAUAGCUAAUACCGCAUAACAGUAUGUAACACAUGUUAGAUGCUUGAAAGAUGCAAUUGCAUCGCUAGUAGAUGGACCUGCGUUGUAUUAGCUAGUAGGUAGGGUAAUGGCCUACCUAGGCAACGAUACAUAGCCGACCUGAGAGGGUGAUCGGCCACACUGGGACUGAGACACGGCCCAGACUCCUACGGGAGGCAGCAGUAGGGAAUCUUCGGCAAUGGGGGGAACCCUGACCGAGCAACGCCGCGUGAGUGAAGAAGGUUUUCGGAUCGUAAAGCUCUGUUGUUAAGGAAGAACGAGUGUGAGAAUGGAAAGUUCAUGCUGUGACGGUACUUAACCAGAAAGGGACGGCUAACUACGUGCCAGCAGCCGCGGUAAUACGUAGGUCCCGAGCGUUGUCCGGAUUUAUUGGGCGUAAAGCGAGCGCAGGCGGUUAGAAAAGUCUGAAGUGAAAGGCAGUGGCUCAACCAUUGUAGGCUUUGGAAACUGUUUAACUUGAGUGCAGAAGGGGAGAGUGGAAUUCCAUGUGUAGCGGUGAAAUGCGUAGAUAUAUGGAGGAACACCGGUGGCGAAAGCGGCUCUCUGGUCUGUAACUGACGCUGAGGCUCGAAAGCGUGGGGAGCGAACAGGAUAGAG